rnacentral:rRNA from 1 species
CCGUUCAAUACUGCGGGACUUGAGGGCAGAAGAGGGGGGUGGAAUUGCUGGUGUAGUGGUGAAAUGCGUAGAUAUCAGCAGGAACACCUGUGGCGAAAGCGGCCCCCUGGUCUGCUCCUGACACUCAGACGCGAAAGCUAGGGGAGUGAACGGGAUUAAAAACCCCGGUAAUCCUAGCCGUAAACGAUGGAUGCUAGGUGUGGGUGGUAUUGACCCCAUCCGUGCCGAAGCCAACGCGUUAAGCAUCCCGCCUGGGGACUACGGCCGCAAGGUUAAAACUCAAAGGAAUUGACGGGGACCCGUACAAGCAGCGGAGCGUGUGGUUUAAUUCGAAGCUACACGAAGAACCUUACCCAGGUUUGACAUACAGGUAGUAGUGAAGCGAAAGCGGAACGAUCCUUCGGGAAGCCUGAACAGGUGCUGCAUGGCUGUCGUCAGCUCGUGCCGUGAGGUGUUUGGUUAAGUCCACUAACGAGCGCAACCCCUGUCGUCAGUUACAUGUGUCUGGCGAGACUGCCGGUCUUAAACCGGAGGAAGGUGGGGAUGACGUCAAGUCAGCAUGGCCUUUAUAUCUGGG